GGUGAACGCUGGCGGCGUGCCUAAUACAUGCAGUCGAGCGAACAGACGAGGAGCUUGCUCCUCUGACGUUAGCGGCGGACGGGUGAGUAACACGUGGAUAACCUACCUAUAAGACUGGGAUAACUUCGGGAAACCGGAGCUAAUACCGGAUAAUAUAUUGAACCGCAUGGUUCAAUAGUGAAAGACGGUUUUGCUGUCACUUAUAGAUGGAUCCGCGCCGCAUUAGCUAGUUGGUAAGGUAACGGCUUACCAAGGCGACGAUGCGUAGCCGACCUGAGAGGGUGAUCGGCCACACUGGAACUGAGACACGGUCCAGACUCCUACGGGAGGCAGCAGUAGGGAAUCUUCCGCAAUGGGCGAAAGCCUGACGGAGCAACGCCGCGUGAGUGAUGAAGGUCUUCGGAUCGUAAAACUCUGUUAUUAGGGAAGAACAAAUGUGUAAGUAACUAUGCACGUCUUGACGGUACCUAAUCAGAAAGCCACGGCUAACUACGUG
rnacentral:rRNA from 1 species